rnacentral:lncRNA from 1 species
ACAAGUGUGAAUGCAUACAAAUACACUGAUUAUAACCGUUCGUUUUAUUUGAGAUUUUUUUAAUAAACUGAUCAUAUACGUUUGUACAAAAUAUAGCAAAAAUAUUUUUUUUUGGAUUCCGUUUAUCAUUGUCGGAAUUCUUAUACGCUUUUAUAUAUAGUAUAGAUAUAAAUAAUAAAUAGGUGUUAUCUCAUUCGAUUGCAAUAAUCUCUGCUCGAGAGAUU